UAGGCCUCCCAUCGUCUCUAUGCUGCCUCUCGUAAUCGAUCCCCUCCUAGAAAUCGCCGCCGCUACAUUCUCCUCCGCUCGCUCACACGCCGCCUCGCCGCUUCCUCACUCUCGUGCUAUUGCCGCUGAUUCGCCGCCCUCACCUGCCCCGCCACCGGAUCAAUCACCCCCGAACCCAACCCUUGCGCGCCCACAGCGGGUUAGGCCCCCAGUGGGUUCGGGCACCACUGAGGAGGUGAUGAGCAGGCUCCCCCCGCGACUAGAGAAGCCAAGCCUCCACCGGCGAUGAGGAUUGGGAGUCAUUGAUCUGUCGCUGACGGCCACGUCGCCGACUUGGAGGUCGAAGCCUUCGACCUAAUCGCCGUGCCGGCGCGUUCAUCUUCGUCAACCCCUUUGGCGGCAAGAAAUACGCCAGGAGGAUCUAUGGGACGGAAAUCAAACCUCUGUUUAAAACUGACGGUGUCAACGUCGCAAUGCAAGGCAUCUUCUCUUCACUUCGCUCUCUCCCUCCCUCCCCAUCGAAUCGUGAACGCAACCCGACCCAAAUCCUCCUCGCGAGCAGUGUCGAUCCCUCCUCCGCGUCAAGGCUUGCUAUUCAAAGGCUUGAGAUCGCAAAGAAUGAUCUGCAAAAUAGAAUUGCCGAAGAGGCUAGGGGCAAUGCAAUUCUACAGGCGAGUUUGGAAAGAAAAAAACAAGCAUUACAUGAACGCCGUUUGGCUCUGGAACAGGAUGCUGCAUUCCCUUGCCUUGUCAAAUUUGCUUACUCAUGCUUUGUUAAGUGUUUAGGAUGAAAGUAUAUUUCGGUCCCUCGAUCCCACGUUAGGUCCUGUUUACCUUGAACUUCUAGGUCACUAUGUUGGUCCCUCAUCUCUGGGAGCAGGUUAUUCGAACUCUCAAGAGUGUUUGCUAUAUAAGCUUGCCACUGGUUUGUUGGGAGAUGAGAUGACUGGUGUCCUUUUAUUUUCCUACUGGCUUUAUUUUCUUUUGCUUUUGCUUUCGUUUUUUAGCUUUGUAUUGUCCUAUACUCCUAUACCUAUGGUACCAGAAUUAAUGUUUAUGUUUCUUUGGAGUAGUGUGCAAAAACCCCACUGCUCACGUAUCCUUUGUGGUCCACUGGUCCACUGGGGUUCGGAUCCUUUGUGGUCCACUGGUCCUACCUACAGGUGGUAAAUUAUAGAUGAGCCUUGUCUGUCUGUAACUUAUAAGUUAACUAUUAUAAAGGCUUUAAUUGGACAUACCUCUAAAGUUAAGGGGUCAAAAAAUAUUACCAGUGCAAAAUUCAUGGCUUAAACUGAGCACAGUCCAAAAGCUGAGGGGCCAAAUUGAUACUUUCUCCUUUAUUUUCUUCUGAUACUGUUAUUGUUGAAUAGUUCGAGAUAUAUAGAUGGUGUGAUAAUUGUUCUAACUGUAGUUUAUACAACUGUUUAUAACUGUAGGCGUCCAGGUAGCAACUACAAGCUGAGAGGGAUCUUGGAGCUGCAUUGGAGGUUGGCUUGAGCAUGUUUUCUGGACAGUUUUCUAGUGCAUGUUCUAUGGAUGUGAAGACAAGGGCAGAUCUUGAGGAGAUUCCUCUUGCUGAAGCUGAUGUUGCAAAGUUAAAACAAAAGGUUGCGGAGCUUCACCUCCAACUCAAUCAACAACGCCAACACCAGUAUGGCUCUGCAGUGGAUGCAAAUGAUCAUCAUCACCAUCUUCCUGGUCACUUCUCGCAGUAAAUAGCUCGAGGAUGUCAGGUUCACGGGUGUGCUCAGAGAGAUUGGUCACACGGACGACGUAGUUCUCAUCAUUGCUACGCCUCACCCGUGAACCUAAGACGGGUUCUGCAACUCAUGGCAACGUCACCUCCCUUACGUGCAAUGUCUAGUGGAUCAUCAGAGAAUACAUCGUCAGAAAAGACAUCAGGAAUUUGAGUAGUCCAGAUGAAACAAAAAGUGUAGUCGUGUAUAUCCUUAUCCUUGUUCUUUUAGCAUACUAAACAGUAGCUACCUCAAUAACACAGACCAUACGUGACAAAAUAGAGUUAUCUCAUGUUUCAACUUCGACUACCUGAUGAUAAAGUGCGACGUGUCUACGAAGAUCUUGUUAGAAUUAAAGGUGUAUAUAUAAUUUUAAUAAUUCUUAAUAAAUCUUAAAAACCUAUAUUACGGAGACAUGGUUUAUGAUGAGGUCUACCCCCUAUUAAUACCAUAUUACUAAUAAAGUUGGAGGUGAAUAUGUUUUCUUUA